GCCCGUGUGGUUCAGUGGUUUGAGCAUUGGACCAUGACUCUAGAGACCAAGGUUCAAAAUCCCAACUCAGUCA